rnacentral:lncRNA from 1 species
AAAAUUAUGUUUAUAUAUCAUUUCUGUUGUAACUAUUAUCAUUAUUUGUUAAAAAGCUUCAUAUUGGACCCAAUGUGUCCUACUAGUGAUAAAAUGCUGAUUAUAAAAUAUUAUCCCAAACCUCAUUAACGUAUGAGGUUGAAUAUCUCUCACUGUUCUUUCUAAUAAGAGACGUUUUCAUUGACUAAACAAGAUUUCC